AUGCAUGUCCAGAAUGUAUACAAACUUUACAACUUUCAGCAACGGAUCUCUUGGCUCUCGCAUCGAUGAAGAACGCAGCGAAUUGCGAUAAGUAAUGUGAAUUGCAGAUUUUCAGUGAAUCAUCGAAUCUUUGAACGCACCUUGCGCUCCUUGGUAUU
rnacentral:rRNA from 1 species